GCGAAUAUAGUUUAAAUACAAAACACUAGAUCGUGACUCUGGCAAUGGAAAUGAAACUUUUCCUAUUCGCU
rnacentral:tRNA from 1 species